AGUGAACGCUGGCGGUAGGCCUAACACAUGCAAGUCGAACGGCAGCACAGUAAGAGCUUGCUCUUACGGGUGGCGAGUGGCGGACGGGUGAGGAAUACAUCGGAAUCUACUUUUUCGUGGGGGAUAACGUAGGGAAACUUACGCUAAUACCGCAUACGACCUACGGGUGAAAGCAGGGGAUCUUCGGACCUUGCGCGAUUGAAUGAGCCGAUGUCGGAUUAGCUAGUUGGCGGGGUAAAGGCCCACCAAGGCGACGAUCCGUAGCUGGUCUGAGAGGAUGAUCAGCAACACUGAAACUGAGACACGGUCCAGACCCCUACGGGAGGCAGCAGUGGGGAAGAUUGGACAAUGGGCGAAAGCCUGACCAAGCCAUACCGCGUGGGUGAGAAGGCCUUCGGGUUGUAAAGCCCUUUUGUUGGGAAAGAAAAGCAGCAGGUUAAUACCCCGCUGUUCUGACGGUACCCAAAGAAUAAGCACCGGCUAACUUCGUG
rnacentral:rRNA from 1 species